rnacentral:rRNA from 1 species
UGCGCCUUGCCAGCCCGCUCAGAAACUUAAAGGAAUUGACGGGGGCCCGCACAAGCGGUGGAGCAUGUGGUUUAAUUCGAUGAUACGCGAGGAACCUUACCUGGGCUCAAAUGUAUGUUGACGUAUUCUGAAAGGGAUACUUCUUCGGACAAUAUACAAGGUGCUGCAUGGUUGUCGUCAGCUCGUGCCGUGAGGUGUCGGGUUAAGUCCCAUAACGAGCGCAACCCCUAUCAUUAGUUGCCAUCAGGUCAAGCUGGGGACUCUAAUGAAACUGCCUACGCAAGUAGUGAGGAAGGUGGGGAUGACGUCAAAUCAGCACGGCCCUUACGUCCAGGGCUACACACGUGCUACAAUGGCCGGUACAAAGGGCAGCUACCUGGUGACAGGAUGCUAAUCUCAAAAGCCGGUCUCAGUUCGGAUCGGAGUCUGCAACCCGACUCCGUGAAGUCGGAAUCGCUAGUAAUCGUGAAUCAGAAUGUCACGGUGAAUACGUUCCCGGGCCUU